rnacentral:rRNA from 1 species
GUUACAAUGGCAGGUACAGAGGGGUGCUACCGGGUGACCGGAUGCCGAUCUCGAAAACCUGUCCCAGUUCGGACUGGAGUCUGCAACCCGACUCCACGAAGUUGGAUUCGCUAGUAAUCGCGCAUCAGCCAUGGCGCGGUGAAUACGUUCCCGGGCCUUGUACACACCGCCCGUCAAGCCAUGGGAGCCGGGGGCGCCUGAAGUCCGGGACCGCGAGGACCGGCCUAAGGCGAAACUGGUGACUGGGGCUAAGUCGUAACAAGGUAUC